rnacentral:rRNA from 1 species
GAUUAAGUUAUUAAGGGCGCACGGUGGAUGCCUUGGCACUAGAAGCCGAUGAAGGACGUUACUAACGACGAUAUGCUUUGGGGAGCUGUAAGUAAGCUUUGAUCCAGAGAUUUCCGAAUGGGGAAACCCAGCAUGAGUUAUGUCAUGUUAUCGAUAUGUGAAUACAUAGCAUAUCAGAAGGCACACCCGGAGAACUGAAACAUCUUAGUAACCGGAGGAAGAGAAAGAAAAUUCGAUUCCCUUAGUAGCGGCGAGCGAAAUGGGAAGAGCCCAAACCAACAAGCUUGCUUGUUGGGGUUGUAGGACACUCUAUACGGAGUUACAAAGGACGACAUUAGACGAAUCAUCUGGAAAGAUGAAUCAAAGAAGGUAAUAAUCCUGUAGUCGAAAAUGUUGUCUCUCUUGAGUGGAUCCUGAGUACGACGGAGCACGUGAAAUUCCGUCGGAAUCUGGGAGGACCAUCUCCUAAGGCUAAAUACUCUCUAGUGACCGAUAGUGAACCAGUACCGUGAGGGAAAGGUGAAAAGCACCCCGGAAGGGGAGUGAAAUAGAACCUGAAACCGUGUGCUUACAAGUAGUCAGAGCCCGUUAAUGGGUGAUGGCGUGCCUUUUGUAGAAUGAACCGGCGAGUUACGAUUUGAUGCAAGGUUAAGCAGUAAAUGUGGAGCCGUAGCGAAAGCGAGUCUGAAUAGGGCGUUUAGUAUUUGGUCGUAGACCCGAAACCAGGUGAUCUACCCUUGGUCAGGUUGAAGUUCAGGUAACACUGAAUGGAGGACCGAACCGACUUACGUUGAAAAGUGAGCGGAUGAACUGAGGGUAGCGGAGAAAUUCCAAUCGAACCUGGAGAUAGCUGGUUCUCUCCGAAAUAGCUUUAGGGCUAGCCUCAAGUGAUGAUUAUUGGAGGUAGAGCACUGUUUGGACGAGGGGCCCCUCUCGGGUUACCGAAUUCAGACAAACUCCGAAUGCCAAUUAAUUUAACUUGGGAGUCAGAACAUGGGUGAUAAGGUCCGUGUUCGAAAGGGAAACAGCCCAGACCACCAGCUAAGGUCCCAAAAUAUAUGUUAAGUGGAAAAGGAUGUGGCGUUGCCCAGACAACUAGGAUGUUGGCUUAGAAGCAGCCAUCAUUUAAAGAGUGCGUAAUAGCUCACUAGUCGAGUGACACUGCGCCGAAAAUGUACCGGGGCUAAACAUAUUACCGAAGCUGUGGAUUGUCCUUUGGACAAUGGUAGGAGAGCGUUCUAAGGGCGUUGAAGCAUGAUCGUAAGGACAUGUGGAGCGCUUAGAAGUGAGAAUGCCGGUGUGAGUAGCGAAAGACGGGUGAGAAUCCCGUCCACCGAUUGACUAAGGUUUCCAGAGGAAGGCUCGUCCGCUCUGGGUUAGUCGGGUCCUAAGCUGAGGCCGACAGGCGUAGGCGAUGGAUAACAGGUUGAUAUUCCUGUACCACCUAUAAUCGUUUUA